rnacentral:rRNA from 1 species
UACAGAGGUGGCAAGCGUUGUUCGGAAUUAUUGGGCGUAAAGGGCGCGUAGGCGGCUUACUAAGUCAGACGUGAAAUCCCCCGGCUUAACCUGGGAACUGCGUCUGAUACUGGAAGGCUUGAGGAUGGGAGAGGGAUGUAGAAUUCCGCGUGUAGCAGUGAAAUGCGUAGAUAUGCGGAGGAACACCGAUGGCGAAGGCAAUCCCCUGGGCCUGCACUGACGCUCAUGCACGAAAGCGUGGGGAGCAAACAGG